rnacentral:ncRNA from 2 species
UUCUUAUCCUGAGAGGUGGAGGGACUGGCCCUGUGAAGCCCGACAACCAGCAAUUUAUUGCCCGGUGUUAAAUCCUGCAGAUUUUAUUCUGAAAGAUAAGAG